UUAUCCCACCAUUGGCAACCAAACAGUAGAUUAAAGGCCACUUACAUAUUAUCCCUAAAUAAAAUCCUCUUGUCCAUCACACCAACCGACCCCUUAAAGUUAUGGUAGCUACAUUAAUGUUGAGGUAUGAGUUGGAAUUGUCGUCGUUUAUGUGAUUUAUAUUAUGAGUUUAUUCACUUAACUAUGAUUUUAGUUCGUAAUAACACUUGAAUCUUAAUUCCCUAUAUUACUUGUACCAUAGGAUCUUGUAAUGUAACAAUGUCUAAACUCCCUAAAAUUCAUAUUAAAUAAUAUUCCAUAUGGAUAGGAUCGCAUAAUUAAAGUUGUGAACACAAAUAAAUGAUCCCAUCGAAUAAAGUAUAAAUGUGAACAGAAUUAGAAUUGACACGUCCAAACUAUACUUUUAACAUACAUAAAAAGACAAUGAUUAAUAUUCUUCAUUUCUUGUACUAUAAGUUGUGCUUAGCUAGGUAACCAUAUAUCUCGAAAUACAAUUUUAAUUGAUCAACGUGUAAAAUAAAUGAAUAACAAGGUACGUAUUGUAAAUGG
rnacentral:lncRNA from 1 species